rfam:Capsella rubella cultivar Monte Gargano unplaced genomic scaffold scaffold_2, whole genome shotgun sequence.
CAAAGUGAUGAAUUAAAUCACAAUUGUCACUACCUCUGAGGCAUACUUUUCAAUGUUGUUUUGUUUUUGUUUGCUUGAGAGUAGCCUGGUG